ensembl:lncRNA
GGCGUGCAGCCCAGCCUGCCUUUGUUGGUGCUGCAGUGCAGAGAGAGCCUGCAGUUAUUGGGGUAGCCAACCUCCACAGCCCCUGACAUGCUUUGCUCCUCUAGGAGACAGUAAUACAUUACAGUCCGGUCACCCUCCUGUGGCAGGGGCAGCGCCUGGGAGGGACAGGCUGCCUCCUGACUGACAGCUGAUGAGCAUGGCUCCUCCUGGAAGCCUUGGCUCCAGGGCCUAAUCAAGAGACAAGAGCUGCAGCAGACUCUGAGUGUCCCCGCCACAAACAGCUCAGAGUGCCACAUUGUUGCUAUAGAGGCAGUAAGAGUGCUGUGGAUACCAGCCUAGAAUCCAGAGCCAGACUGUCUUGGAUCAAACUCCCAAUCUUCUCCUAACUAAAUGUGUAAUCUUUGUGCUUUAUGGGAUGCACUGCAGUACCCAGAUGCCCGACACACAAUUCAAGGAUGGGUGCAAGCUUCCUGUCUACUUUGUCAAUGUUUGCGUACAUCCAUAAGAAGAAUGCUUUAAAAUGAGAAAAACUGCAGCACUGGAAAAUGUAAAACCAGCACAAAGAGGCCCCUGCUUCGUCCUUACAUAGGUAUCCCCACCAAAGUUCACUGAAUUUAUCUUUCUACCAGUGGCUUCUUCUGAGUUUGAAUUGAUGAGAUUUAAGCUGGGACUAGCUCUUAAAGUGUAUGGAUUUCUAUGAGAGUCGCCUAAAUGCCAGGGGAUGUCCUAAUCAGCAGAGUGCCACACAAUCAGCCAGUGCUAGAACUGGCAGAAGGCAUACUCGCCCUCAGAGAGGCAGUCACAGCUGCUGAGUCCUGUGGGGACCAUCUCGCAAGUGUUCAGCAGCAUGUCCAGGGUUUGGUAUAUCUUGCAGGGGUCUGCUUCAUUAGUCCUGACUGGCAGAUUCAGAAUGCAGAGAGGUCAGGCAGCCCCACCGGAACCGGGAUUCAGGAAUAUAGAGCAUGUCCCUGCUGGGCUCUAACUGCAGAGAGGCCAGAGCAGGGGCAUCAAGAGAGGGACUAUUCUCUGCUGCUGCUCAGCCAGCAGUGCAGAAGCUUCCAGAUCCUUCAUCCAAGUUGCUGGUUCCUGGUAUACCAGCAGUCCCAGAGCACCCAUGUUCUUCUAUUCUAUGGCUCAUCACUGUGGCCCCUCUUUAUUGUAAUGCUUCUUUAAUUCUCUUUCUCUCUCUAAGUACCAUAAAGGCAAGAUACUAUGUCCAUGUUAUUGAC